UCCCAGGGUGCGUGCGGUGCAGGGUGUGCAAGAGGAUGCGAGGUUGGAGGAGGAGCUUUAAAUGGAUUUGGACUCCUCAGGAGGAUUUGCUAAUGGUCUGAACAAGUGUAUAGAGCACUGCAAAAGAUUUGGAUACUAUUGCCCGUUUUGAUCUAUUCUGCCGAUCUCUACCAGGAACUUGAUUAAAGAUCUGAGAUGCAGUCCCUGGCCUACCCAAUCUCUUUCUUCUAAUUAUCACCAUCAUCGUCUAGAGAACUGAACCGAUGAGUAAAGAGGAUGCUGACACAUUGGAGACCAGCCAGAAAUGGGUUAAAGGGCAUGUGUUUAAGAAGCAACGAAAAUAAUUUGACAUACACAGCCUAGAAGAAAGGCAGGAAAACAAGGAUAUUUUGACUUAUAAAUAACUAAGAGAUACUAAAAAGAAAGGGAGGAGUUAUAUUGGAUAUGGUCAAAAAGAAGAUGGAGAUGUGAGAAGAAUGAAAUAAGAAAAAACCCACAGUGUAUAGAGACUAUUAAGCAAUCUUGGCAAGAAAAAUAAGAAAUUAAGUGAUAAAUAUUGAAUGUUAGGUGUCAGGCAUAUUUUAACAGUGUUACAUGUGUUACUAACUCACUUAAUUCUCCUAGCAGCCCAGUGAUGAAGGAGUUCUGUUAUCUCAAAGGAGAAAACAGUCUUGCUGAAUGAUCUCACAGUGC